UAUGUAUGGCUUUCUUUUCUCAUGGAUAUGUCUGGUCAUUUGUGUGAUGCAGACUGUUCAAUAUCCAGUGGAGCACCCUGAGAAAUUCGAGAAAUUCGGAAUGUCACCUUCUAAGGGAGUUCUUUUCUAUGGCCCUCCUGGAUGUGGGAAAACUCUUCUGGCUAAAGCUAUUGCCAACGAGUGCCAGGCAAAUUUCAUCAGUGUGAAGGGUCCUGAAUUGCUGACAAUGUGGUUCGGUGAGAGUGAAGCCAACGUCCGAGAAAUUUUUGACAAGGCUCGGCAAUCUGCUCCUUGUGUUCUCUUCUUUGAUGAACUUGACUCAAUUGCUACUCAGGUUUGUGUCAGACUCUGGGUGAAUGAUUCAGUGCUUUCAGUAUAACGGUGAUUUGAGGACCUUUGUAUCACUACAGCACAUAGUUAGAGAUUUUUAAGUCCCUAGAAUUUGAGGAUUUGUUUAGCAAGAAAGAACAAUAUAUUUUGUUCAUUGCUUCUUUCUCACUGUUUUAUGCCAUAUUAUGCAGAGAGGAAGCAGUGUGGGAGAUGCUGGCGGUGCUGCUGAUAGGGUUUUGAACCAGCUUCUUACAGAGAUGGAUGGCAUGUCUGCAAAGAAAACUGUUUUUAUAAUCGGGGCCACUAAUAGACCUGAUAUCAUAGACCCUGCACUUUUGCGUCCUGGCCGUCUUGAUCAGUUGAUUUACAUCCCUCUUCCUGAUGAGGACUCGCGACACCAAAUUUUCAAGGCUUGCUUAAGGAAAUCACCAGUCUCCAAAGAUGUUGACCUCAGAGCACUUGCCAAGUAUACUCAGGGCUUCAGUGGUGCUGAUAUCACUGAAAUAUGCCAGCGCGCAUGCAAAUAUGCUAUAAGAGAGAAUAUUGAAAAGGUAUGUUUUUCCUUUAUAUUCUUGUUAUCCUAGUUAUGUUUUUUUAUUUGUUAUUAUUGUAUAUAAUCAUAUGCAUCCGCAUUCUAUCUUGCAGGACAUUGAAAGGGAGAGGAGGCGAAGGGAUAAUCCAGAAGCUAUGGAGGAAGAUGUUGAGGAUGAUGUGGCAGAGAUCAAGGCGGCACACUUCGAGGAGUCCAUGAAGUAUGCCCGCAGGAGUGUGAGUGAUGCAGACAUUCGCAAAUACCAGGCAUUUGCUCAGACUUUGCAACAAUCAAGAGGCUUUGGAUCAGAAUUCAGGUUUUCUGAAGCUACUGGUGCAGCUGCUGGAGCUGAUCCAUUUGCAGCUUCGGCAGGUGGGGAGGCGGAUGAUGACGAUCUAUACAGUUAGACAAUUAGUUUCAAACACGUGCAUUUGUUAUUUAUGUUGGCCCUGUAUGUGUAUUUCUUAACUUCCAUACAUGUAGUUUUAAGAAUGCAUGGCAAUUUUAUUUCUGCCGAAGUUAGCCUUUCCACCAGUACUACGUGGUACAUGGGUUGUGUUUGCUGGUCUACUAUUUGCUUGUCUUGGGUGUUUUCCCUUUUAAAUUUGGAUCAAAUUAGCCCUGAUAGGUAUUUUCAAAGUACUGGUAAAAAGGGAUGUGAGAAGUGGAAGCAUGGGAUUGGGAGGUCUUCUAUGAAGUAGAUCAAUUUGUUUUGUGGUGGAGCAAACAACUAAGGACCAAAUUCUUUAUUCUACAAAUAAGGUAUGGAUUAUAUUAUAAAGCUAAAGUUCAAUACCAAUGGUACUUUUGUAAUACUCCGAAAGUGAUAGGGUUUUUUUUUUAUUCCAUCUUGUUAAUUUAAUUUCAUAAUCUAAUUACGGAUGGAAAUGGGUAAGGUAUGAGUAAGUUAGCAUCAUAUCUUUAUACGCAUCCAUUCAUUCUCUAUCCAUAGAAUUUUGGGUAGUAAAUAUUAAAUCUCUCCUUAGUACGUAGAAUUUCAGAUAACUUAUGAAUAAUUCACUAUUCAAAUAGUUACUAAAUAUAAUAAAGCUUUUAUAAGAUAAUUAAUUAUUAAUGACUAAUAAUUAUUAUUUUUUAUCAAUGAAUAUGUUAUUAAUUUAUUAAUUAAUGAAUAUUUGUAAUUUUAGAUGUUAUGUUUUAGUUAAUUAUUUAUGUAUUUUUAUCAAGAAUAAGAAUAUGAUCAAAAGCUGGUGUGCAUAUAUAUAGAAUUCGAAAAAUAUCAUUUAUAUAUAUAUAAAUAGUAGAGGUUAUAUAUAUAUAGGUCAAAUAAAUUUAUUAUUUUAUAUAUUAAGCAAGAUUAUUUAUUUAGUAUAUUAGUCCGAGUCAUGAUCGACGUCAUUUAUUACUUAGUUAAAGUUAUUAAUUUAUUGAUUUUUUAUUAAUCAAGAUUUUAAAAUAUAUAUAUAAAACCUGAAACACUACUUAUUAUCUCAUUUAACUAAAAUAAUCUAUAAUAUUACUCAAAUAGGCUUAUAUUAGAAUAACAAAAAAUAAAAAUUAAUAAAAUAUUGAUUAAUUAAAUAAUUUAUCUAAUUCUGUAAGUACAAUAUAUCAAAUAAUUAAAAUUAAUAAAUUUAAUUUAUAAAAUUUUAAUAUUUUUUUGGAUAAAGUAUAAAUACAGAUAUAAAUAAAGUAGUAUAGUAUCCGUACCCGGUCAGCUCAGGUAUUUCUGAGUCUGACUGAAUAAGCAGGCAGUGAGUAUUCAAGGGUAGAGUUACAAAGUCUAAUCUUUAUUUUUGUAUCACUACCUCGUUCAUAUAUUUUAAAUAGAAAGAAAAGGUUUCAGUUCUGUCAUAAUAUCUUUUUCUUUUGGCUUAUCUACUCCAACGAGCUAUGUUAAACGUUUCCUCCCAUCAACUUAAACUUACUGUUUUACAGAUUAAGUUAUUUCUAAUUGUCCCUUUUGUGAGGUGAUCGAAUUUUGAUUCGCUUCACAUCACUAAUAAAAAUGUUAAUCAGGUGUUCCUAAUUGUCUUUUUCUUUUCUAAUUACAAAGAGGCAAGAAUCAGAAAACUAAAUAACAACAGCACGAGAGAGGGGAACAACAACAGCAUCAUGAUGAAGCCAAUAACCAAGCAUGCCAAGGGGAUGAGGAACAAAGUGAUAGCCAACAGGGAGAAAACCAACAUAAUUGGCAAGGUAAUCCGCAGCAUAAUUUGCCUCCCCAUAAACAUGAACCAGCUUGAUAUCCCAGUUUCUAAAAAGCAACCGACUAAUUUCAGCAAUUAGAGAACUGUUUGAACCUUGAACCAAGUGAAUAGCAUAUUGAUUAUCCACUUCCCCAAUGAGCUUCCUAAUCCCAAGCUCUCAAGCUAAACGGAUUCCAUGGAAUUCUGCUCGAGUAAUAGAACAUGCUCCAAUGUUCACAGCAAACCCACAAAUCCAACCACUGAGAUAAUUCCUAACUAAACCACCUGCUGUAGCUAAGCCAACAUUACCCUUGAAAGAUCCACGUGUUCACCUUGUACCAAUCAUCUGGGGGAGGGGACCAACUAACUUGCUUCACAAUUUGCUCAUUAAUACGCAUGUUAGAGACGUCCAGGCCAUGACACCUCCCAAUUCCAAGACUCUAGUUCGAAUAUCUUUAACCAGGAGAUGGACAGGAACCUCACCAUUGAAAACAACCCUGUUCCUACGAUUCCAAAGACUCCAAACCGCCACACCAAACAAAGACUUCCACACAGUGUUGUCUUUCAUAGUAAAGUCCAAAUUGAUGUAAUGAAUAACCCAAUCCUUUAACGAAAGAGCAAAGAACAUACCUUUGAGCUGGGUGGGUAAAAAGCCAUCCCACAUUUGCUUCGCAAUAACACAGUCCUUAACCACAUGAACGGCUUCUUCCAUAUCAGCAGUGAGAUGACGGCGAACCCGUUCAACAUUAAAUUAUAUCAAAGAUUUUCGCUUAUAAUCUCAUAGUGGCGUGGGUUAUGGCAUCUACAUUUUGGGCAAAAGAAUUUUGGAUUGUGGGCUAGUUGGACCCAAGCCUAUCAGGCCCAAAUAAACAAUGCCAAGGAGGUGUUCUUCAACACUCAGCUCAGCCCAUGGUAAAAGAUUGCUUGGGGACUCCUAUAUAUUAAUGGUAUGUGAAAUCUCCCUUGCUUUUUGUACUUGGGCAAAGGGUUAAGGAAUAGAGAAUUUAACACUCUUUUUUCUCCUCUUAUUUCAAGAAUUGAUUCAAGCGUAAAAGUAAGCAUUUGGAUAUGAGCAAUGCAUGUGCUAUGUCAGAUAAUUGCCAUUUUCCUAUUAUUAUUCACAAUGAUUUAAGUAUUUCUUUUAUUCAAUAAUGAAAGGCUCUAUUGUUAUUAAAAUGUUGUACCUUAUCAUCAACUUAAAUCACUACAUUUGGAUAUUUAACAAGGUGAUGACAAAUCUUUCCUUAUUGACUAAAAAACACAAUUAUGUGGUUAGGAAUGAGGACAUUAAUUGGAACAUUCUAGAUUAAACAAAAAUGAUGGUUUCCUCUUCCUAUACUUGCAAUAAUAUUCUAUUUAAAUGUGUUUUUUUUUUUUAAGGUCAGCAAUAAUAGAUUCCAAAAAAUGAAAAAACAAAUAGCAUGCUAUCAAAUCUCAAAGAAAAUUAACUCUGUUGUUUAACAAAAGAAAAAAAAAAAAGAAAAUUAACUCUGUUUAUGACCUACAAACUUUUAAAUAAUUUACAUAAUAUGGUAGUGGGACUUUGGUUAAAAAGACAAUUUAGGAUUGAUAUUCCUAAGAUUACGUUUAACCUAAGAGUAUCAAUAAUAACUAAAUUUGAUACAAGAAAAAAUAAAAAACUAAUUAUUGUAUGACAUAUUAUGUAUUUAUUUAUAAAUAUAGGAAGCUUAAAUCAGUUGAUAAAAUAUUUGUUUUAGAAAAACUCUCUCAUAUUAAAUAAAUUAUCACAUUUUUGCUAUGCUAUUAAUGCUGAGUAUUUGCUUUCAUAUUCUGUCCAAGCCUGGAGGAAGAUUAAUUAGAAAGCGUAAAUCAAAAAAAGAUUCAGUCUGGAUAUAUUAUAUAAAAAAAAAUUACCAUUAACGAUAAAUAAAAAGAAUAUAUAUUUCGACAAAAUAUUAAUAUGCAUAUAAAAGGUGAUUAUUUUUAUUUUAUGAAUAGUAAAGUAUUAUAUUAUUUAUUUCUAAAUUUUGACAUAAAGUUUAAACAAUGAGCUUACGAAGUUAGAAUGAAAAAUCUUUUAAAAAGAAUUGUUAUAAAUUGUAAUGAAAAAUAAGGGGAGGAAAUUUAAAGUAACAAAAUUAAAUUGAACUUUCACAAUUAAAAGAAAAAGUGGAGAAUUAAACCAUUUCUUUCCGAACAAGAAAAGAAGGAAAAUUAGCUUUGCCUCUCAUAUAAAGACCCAGAAACUGCUUCAAUAAUUUCAGAUCCCAAUUUAAUCGAAACAUUUUCUUUUGCUGUUUAUCAAAUUCUCUCUAUCUCUCGACCAUGUCUAACCAACCCGAAUCAUCCGACUCGUAAGUAUCUCUAUUUCGUCAUUACUCGCUACAUUCACUUAUGUUAUCCACCUAAUUUUUCUUAUUCUUAAUUUCAAUUUGCUUUUUUUAAGAAAAUAUUUGGAAAGCAAUAGUAACUUCAAGAUUCUUGAGGUCUUUUUUGUUAAUGGGUAUUUGUUUUUGCUUUUGAUUUUUCAGGAAGGGAACAAAAAGGGAUUUUAGUACUGCGAUUUUAGAGCGAAAGAAGUCACCAAAUCGGCUUGUUGUUGAUGAAGCUAUUAAUGAUGAUAACUCUGUUGUUUCUCUUCAUCCUGAAACUAUGGAGAAGCUCCAGCUCUUUCGUGGUGACACGAUCUUGAUUAAGGUUUUUAAUUUUUAAUUCUUCUACUUCUUGGCUUGGAUUAUUGUUCUGGGUUGUUAUUGGAUUUCUGAUUAUGUGUUUCUAUACUCUGUUCUAAUGUUCAUUUGGAUUAGGAUCGAGAUUUAGGGUUUUGCGUAGUUUGUUAAUUGUUGUACAGAAGAUCCAAGAACUGGAUUUUCUUUAUGUUAUAGAUAUUAUGGUAUAUGAAGCUAUGUUUUUAUCUGACUGAGGGUUUGAUCACCUAUCUGCUUUUUAAUGGUACACUGUGCUGGUUUGCUUUGUUUCAUGUUUAACUUGGGCACUGAUUGGCCGCUUUUUAAAUUGGAAUUGGCUUUUAUAGGGAACUUAUACUGUUAAGGUUGCUUGUGUUCAGCUUGUGAAGUGGGUUUGCUUCUUAUUUGGUUGUGUGAAUGUUUUAUGGAGAUUAUGAUAUAUGAAGCUGUUUCUCAAUGAUUGUGGUUUAGCUACUGCCUAUACGGAAAAUUACUACUAAAAUAUUGUUGGUCUGCUUAUUUCAAAGUUCAACUAAAGCAUUGAAUGAAGGCUGUUUACUAGACUUCAAAAAGAAAUCGCCUUCUGUGUUGGUCUUAAUAUUGUUAAUCUUGCUUGUAUUAAGCUUGUGAAUGCUUUUAAUUAAUUACUGCCUUAAGAAUGUUAUAAACCCAUUUUGCUUAUUUGCUGAGUGUAUUGCUGUGUUGCUUUGUCAUGUUUAGGGAAAGAAAAGGAAGGAUACUAUCUGCAUUGCCCUUGCCGAUGGCUCUUGUGACGAGCCAAAGAUCAGGAUGAACAAGGUUGUGAGGUCAAACCUGAGAGUUAGGCUUGGAGAUGUUGUCUCUGUGCACCAAUGUCCUGAUGUCAAAUAUGGAAAGCGUGUGCACAUACUCCCUAUUGAUGACACAAUUGAAGGAGUCACUGGAAAUCUGUUCGAUGCAUACUUGAAACGUGAGUUUAUUCUGAAAUUUUCAUUUGCAAGCAGUACUUUAAGACGACCAGUCGUUGCAUGAUGCCUUUAUCUUGUCUUUUAUUUAGACUUUCUGCUUUAGAGGAAACUCUAAUAUCAAUAUAUCCUUUGUCCUCAAUUUUACUGCCUGUGCUGUUUAUGUGCAUGUUGGCACAAAGACUCACCAAAAGUAGUUACAUGUUUCAUCAUAAGUAUUUCCAUCUAUUCUUCAGAUGCUGUACUGAGUUUUUACAUAUAUAUUUGUGUCUUUUCUCAUUCAUGCGUUAGUACUUGAUAGUCGAGGAAGAUUUUAAUUUCCAAGUUUUGAUAUUACUUCUAUUUUGACUAGAAUUAGUUUCUAUGAAAAUGGAACUGUUUACUCUUCAAUGCAUGCAUGUGGAAGUUUGAGUUGCUGAUUCAAACAAUUUUGGAUCUAUCUAUAGAAAUGACAAAGUUGAUUUUUCCCAGGAGUAUUUGGAUUAUCAUAUUUCUUUUCCCUUCCUAGAAAAUAAUAUCUGUUACUGUUAGUUUUCCACUGUCCAAAAUUUUUUGCCAACUCUUUGGAAAUGUUGACUGCCUAGUUCUUAAUCAGUGAGUGUCUUGGAUUUGUGGUGUAGAUCGCUUAUAAUUUCUAGUUGAGUUCUGCUCCUCUCAUUUUGUGUGCAUUACACUGAGCCUGUUGAUUGAUAUCCGCAGCUUAUUUCCUCGAGGCGUAUCGCCCAGUCAGGAAGGGUGAUCUCUUCCUCGUGAGGGGAGGAAUGAGAAGCGUGGAAUUCAAGGUUAUUGAGACCGACCCUGCAGAGUACUGUGUGGUCGCCCCUGACACUGAGAUUUUCUGUGAGGGUGAGCCUGUGAGGAGAGAAGAUGAGAAUAGAUUAGAUGAAGUUGGCUAUGAUGAUGUUGGUGGUGUUAGAAAACAGAUGGCUCAGAUUAGGGAGCUGGUGGAGCUUCCACUGAGGCAUCCACAGCUAUUCAAAUCAAUUGGUGUUAAGCCACCAAAAGGAAUUUUGCUUUAUGGACCUCCUGGUUCUGGGAAGACUCUUAUUGCCCGGGCUGUUGCCAAUGAAACUGGUGCUUUCUUCUUCUGUAUUAAUGGACCUGAGAUCAUGUCAAAAUUGGCUGGGGAGAGUGAAAGCAAUCUUAGAAAAGCUUUUGAGGAAGCAGAGAAAAAUGCACCAUCCAUCAUUUUUAUUGAUGAGAUUGAUUCAAUUGCUCCCAAGAGAGAGAAGACACAUGGAGAGGUGGAGAGGAGGAUAGUCUCCCAGCUAUUAACACUUAUGGAUGGACUUAAAUCCCGUGCGCAUGUUAUUGUCAUUGGGGCCACAAAUCGCCCCAACAGCAUUGACCCUGCUUUGAGAAGGUUUGGCAGAUUUGAUAGGGAAAUUGACAUUGGUGUACCAGACGAAGUUGGGCGACUUGAAGUUCUCAGAAUCCAUACGAAGAACAUGAAGCUUGCAGAAGAUGUGAAUAUUAAAUGCUAUUUUCUUUUAUUGAUUGUUUCCUUUUCUAUUUCUCCUACUCAGUCUUUGAUAGAAUUCCACUUCUGGGAUUUUUUUUACAGGUUGAUUUGGAAAGAAUUUCCAAAGACACACAUGGUUAUGUUGGUGCUGAUUUGGCAGCUCUGUGCACUGAGGCUGCACUUCAAUGCAUCAGGGAGAAGAUGGAUGUGAUCGACUUAGAAGAUGAAUCAAUAGAUGCUGAGAUACUUAACUCUAUGGCAGUGAGUAAUGAACACUUCCAAACUGCACUUGGAACAAGUAACCCAUCUGCUCUGCGCGAAACAGUGAGUCUCCACGAGAUGUUUUUAUGGAUCCUCUGUCACUUCUUUCAAUGACUAUCAUUUUGUUAAGUUUCUAAUUAAGGAUAUUUGGUCCAGGUUGUUGAAGUGCCCAAUGUGAGUUGGGAAGAUAUUGGAGGCCUUGAGAAUGUUAAGAGGGAGCUUCAAGAGGUAUUUGCUUUUGAUACAUUGGGUUGCAUGUGUUUGACUUGCAUUCUGGACUAUGUAUGGCUUUCUUUUCUCAUGGAUAUGUCUUGUCAUUUGUGUGAUGCAGACUGUUCAAUAUCCAGUGGAGCACCCUGAGAAAUUCGAGAAAUUCGGAAUGUCACCCUCUAAGGGAGUUCUUUUCUAUGGCCCUCCUGGAUGUGGGAAAACUCUUCUGGCUAAAGCUAUUGCCAAUGAGUGCCAGGCAAAUUUCAUCAGUGUGAAGGGUCCUGAAUUGCUUACAAUGUG
rnacentral:lncRNA from 1 species